GGAAGCUAGCUAGCUGUGCGUUUCCUCCAAGCUUCUGUCAGGUCAUCGGGUCCCUUCUGUUGGGUACAGGAAUUGUGUGGUGACUUCACGCAUACUUUGGUAUGCUGUUUCACGGUAUCUACUUUCUGGUUCUAAACCCAGUACUGUGUAUUGAAACCUUGACCCUGAGGGCUUCUGCUGGUUUCUGUAGGAUUGUUCCUUAUCCCUGUCGCUGAGGGUGAGAAAUGCUCAAGGUGGAAGUCGGCUCAGUCGUGCUCUUGUUCUGAUCUGCUGUCUCCCUGUGCCCUGCGGCUCCCUGGCUGCGCCAGCACGAGCUUUGGUUACUGAUCCUCCUCAGAUUUUCAUAGAACUUAAAAGGACUGGUCUUCCAUGAGUCCAAAGACCCUUUCCUCAGCGAAAGGUGUGUAAUCCAGCUUCCUGGAAGGGGAACUUCUGGACCAGAGGAUUAAAUGUACACCUCCCAGGACUCACACCCACAGCAAGGAGAGCAAAUUCAGCCUGGACUGGUGACCCCUGCACCUUGCCUACAUAGGUUUAGGGGUCUUUCGUCUCCUGGAUCCACAGGUUCCUGUCCACAGACCCCCUGUUAGGCCAGCAGGAGAGUUCAAUGAGAGGGGCAACGAGAAUUUUUGAUCUGCUUGUUUUUCAGGGACUCCUGUGAAGAAGUUCACCUUCCUCUCCUCCAGCCUGCCUUUGGCUGCUGUUAGCUGAAGCGGACAGCUGGAGGAGAGAGGCCCCCGUGCUCUGGAGCGGUGGCCCCGAGGAGGCGGCCCAGCCACCAGGGCUACUUCAUUUGAUGGAAGAGGAACACCAGAGCCCGGUGUUGGGGGACGGAUGGAGGCUCAGGUCCUGGGUGAGGUGAGCAGGGGGUAGCCUCAACCCGGCUUUUGGCAGGAAGCCUGAGUAACCAGAGAAUUAGCUCUGGGUUCUCUUCCUGGUCCUAAAUGGGCUCUUCUCCAGCUCUGAGCAACCCUCUAUCAGGAGUGAUGAGACCAAGGUCAUUGUUAACAAGUGUUUAUUGUUAAUAAAACCAUGGUACAUUUACAAUAAGUGACAACAUUAAUGUAUAGUUACAGUAUCAUACAAUAUUACAGCAAUAAAAUAACGCCUAUUCCUUUGUACAUCCAGCUCAAGCAGCUAGUCGAAAAUAUUUUCCAAGAUUGCAAGCCCCCAGGGGCUUUUCAAGGUAACCAAAGUAACACCUCCUUAAGUGCCCAGGGCUUUUGGUGAAUAAAUAGUUUCUAAGGUGCAGCCAGACAGCCUGAAGAAGGCUACACCCGGAGCAAGCUGUCCGGAAUGCUCCCCCAGUGUCUGGUCCAUAAAUAUGACAAGUGUCCAGCCCGAUGCUGCCCCUCCACCUAGGGAAGCCCGGGGCCUACAGCAGGCCCGGAGCAGGUAGGUGAGAAGCAGCAGGCCUUCUCCCGCCCCUUCCCUCCCACCACUGCCCCACCCUUUCUACCCCCAGGACCGCAGUUCCAGUGAGAGGUGCCCCUCUCCGGCCCAAGUCGGAGGACUCAGCCAGGGGUACAUUUAGGGGUCUGCUUCCUGAGCCCACAGAGGCAGCCUAAAUCUAGGCUUGGGGUUUCAGAAUGGGCCCCUAAAAACAGCAGCAGCAUGGGCUGAGGCCCCCGGACUCCUCCAUGCCACCCUGCGCUUAGACUGAAAGCUCUGAAGGCAUCAGUUGGGGAACUGCUCUACCACUAACCGAGCAGGUUUGUGGUCCCCAAAGGAGGGCCUCUGUCGGCCUAGACACCAAAGAGAAUAGGACUGAGUGACCCUCUGUGCCCCCUGGAGGCUCACAUCAAGCCUUUGAAGGCACAGCCUUGAGGAAUAAGUUCAGGGAUUUGGAUAGCCUUUCUGACGUGAUGUUGAGAAAAAAAUACCGCUUCUGCAUGAAGUGGCCUGAGGCCCAGAGUAUACAUUCUCUACAUUCAUCAGGAUGCCUGUACCUCCAGGAGCCCCAGCUGGGACCGUCCGAGCUUAUGGAGGCGUGGGGACUGCGGGUAGUUAGCUUCUGACCAUGCCUUCCAGGCCCUAUUUCAAGCGGGAAGAAUCAGGAUCAGCCAUAGAUCUCCAGGAGGGGAGCACAAGAGGGUGAGUACACGGCAGCCCUCAAGGUGCAAACGGUAUGGGGGUUGCACGUGGGGGAAGGGCCACCUUUUGACCUUGUCUGCCCAUAACUAGUCAAGCAGACACAGCUUGGGGGCAGAGGGUUGAAGGUGGGGCUGCCCAGUGACAGGAGGGCUCAGAGCACAUCUACCUGUGCAAGGACAGAUCACCACCAGAGGGGAGGUCUGGGGAAAGAGGGGGAAACUGAGUCCCAUGAGCCUGGCUCCAGGAGGGCCUCAGCCAGCGCCCUGGCCCCCUCCAUGGGGCAACGACCCAUCCACAGACCCU